rnacentral:rRNA from 1 species
CCCUUAGAUGUUCUGGGCGGCCCGCGCACUACAAUGGCGUGUGCAGCGAGUGCCGAAGUAGAGUUUUCCGAGGUAUUCUUGCAAUGCUCGUUUUGAUGGGGAUAGACCCUUGCAACUGUUGGUUUUGAACGAGGAAUUCCUUGUAAGCAUGGUUUAUCAUCCGACGCUGAGUGCGUCCCUGCCCUUUGUACACACCGCCCGUCGCUACUACCGAUUGAACGGUUUAGUGAGGGCCUCGGAUUGGUCUCGGCCCGCUCUUUACCGGGCGGCGCCGUUGGUCGAGAAGACGCUCGAACUUGAUCGUUUAGAGGAAGUAAAAGUCGUAACA